rnacentral:rRNA from 1 species
UGAAACCGAUCAGGGGUAAACCUGAGAAACCCGAAAGGUCGAAUGGGGAAAUUCAUAUGAGUCUCGAAUGUGGCGUCGAGCUGUCGCGUGACUGACGAGGUACGCUUCGUUAGCGCCUUCAGUUCUUCGAACCACAAUCGAACACGUGCACUUUUCCCCUAGUAGGACGUCGCGAUCCGUUGGGUGUCGGUCUAAGGCCUGCGGUGGAGCUCGCACUGAACGUUUCGGCGUUCGGUACGAACCCGCGGUGUCCCGAUCUACUCGCUCGACGGUAUAAAGAUGGCGCGGGGCCGCUACUCAGUUAGCGUUCGACCUACGGCAAGCACGUACGGUGUUACGGCGAUCAGACCUGGUCGGAUCCCGUUCCCGGACGACUGUUGGUACGUAGUGUUCUCGAACAGACCUCGUUGAAACGCCGAUCUGCGACGCUAUAGCUUUGGGUACUUUCAGGACCCGUCUUGAA